AUUGAACGCUGGCGGCAGGCUUAACACAUGCAAGUCGAACGAGCGGCGGACGGGUGAGUAAUGUCUGGGAAACUGCCUGAUGGAGGGGGAUAACUACUGGAAACGGUAGCUAAUACCGCAUACCAUCGGAUGUGCCGAGAUGGGAUUAGCGAGUAGGUGGGGUAAAGGCUCACCUAGGCGACGAUCCCUAGCUGGUCUGAGAGGAUGACCAGCCACACUGGAACUGAGACACGGUCCAGACUCCUACGGGAGGCAGCAGUGGGGAAUAUUGCACAAUGGGCGCAAGCCUGAUGCAGCCAUGCCGCGUGUGUGAAGAAGGCCUUCGGGUUGUAAAGCACUUUCAGCGGGGAGGCGUUACUCGCAGAAGAAGCACCGGCUAACUCCGUGCCAGCAGCCGCGGUAAUAC
rnacentral:rRNA from 1 species